UCAGACCAUUGCCUAUAGGUGAUGAGCUCCAUGAAGAGUGAAACCAGUUAGGUCCUGUAUUGCUAGCCUAAUGAACA
ensembl:misc_RNA